rnacentral:ncRNA from 2 species
AGGUGAACCUGCGGAAGGAUCAUG